UAUAUUUGCAAACUCAAUGAAAAAACAUUGACAUACAUAAUAAUCAUUUAAAUAAUAUUGGCAUG
rnacentral:ncRNA from 1 species